GGCUAGUCUGAUGGUAGUGGGUUAACAAAACUUAUUAACAUUAGUGUCACUAAAGUUGGUAUACAACACCCCCACACUGCUAAAUUUGACUGGCUUAAA
ensembl:misc_RNA Y_RNA Y RNA